UUAUUGUAGUUUGUUUUUGGUGGAACAUCUGAUUUAUUUAACAUGAAUCCCAGAGAAACUCCUAUUAAUUCUAUAUUUCUGGUCUUUUUAGUGCAACAACAACAAAAUAUUUUCUUAUUAGGAUUAUUUUCAUGGUUUUGUGUCUAAAACAUCUCAGGAUGGUGAAAAUGUCCAUCAGAGUCUUAAAACCAAACAUGACGUCUUUAAGAAACUCAGUUAACCAUCUAGAGCUGCAACGAUAUUAAUCAGUUAGUUGUCAACUAUAAAUUUAAAUGCCAACUAAUCUGAUAUUAGACUAAUCGGUUUGAGUCAUUUUCUAAAUAAAAACAGUCUAAAUUCAGUGAUUUCAGCUCCUUAAAUGUGAAUAUUUUCUGGUUUCUUUCCUCUGUCACAGUAAACUGAAGAUCUUUGGACUAAACCAGACAUUUGAGGAAACUCUGAUCCAUGAAUCCAGAAAAUCAACAAUGAAACUCAUCAUCUCCAGUAAAAAGCUGUUAAAUAAAUUUAAGGACGAAGGUUUUAGCACUUUUGCUUCGAGAAUUUAGUCCCAGUUUGCUGUUAUUUGUGUCUGAUUUACAUAAAUUUGAGAAGAAUCGAUGAGUUCUCCACUUUUAAAUCAAUCCCGGAGUCAUUUCACCAUAAAAACUGUGUAAAUUCUUUAAAUAUUUUCUGCUUUCUUUCCUCUUCUACAACGAUGAACUGAAGAUCUUUUGGUUUUGGAAUCCCUGAUCCACAUUUUCUGGCACUUUAGAGUCUAAACAUCUGAUCUGUUUAUUCAGAAAACUAAUCAUUGGUAGCUUCUUGUCUCCAACAUAAACGCUCAUCAAUCGUCAUGUUCCAGAGCCUCUAACUCCACAGGAAUCUCCAUAAAGAGAACGACUGUAGAAGCCCAUAAAACACUUGAUGUGUGAACUUGUCCUCCUUUACCGCCUCACAGCCGCUAAUCUGAGAUGGAGGCUUGUAAUUAGUCGGUCAGCAACCAGGUGUGUCGCCCCUGGACAACCUGACGACCAGAAAACAAUCCAAAGAGCUGCCAGGUCCCUUCAGCUGCAGAAUGGAGGCAAAGAAACAAAAGAAACAGGUGAAAUCUGCAGAAAAUCUGGUUAAAUCUGCAGAAUGGAGGCAAAGAAACAAAAGAAACAGGUGAAAUCUGCAGAAAAACAGGUGAAAUCUGCAGAAAAUCUGGUUAAAUCUGCAGAAUGGAGGCAAAGAAACAAAAGAAACAGGUGAAAUCUGCAGAAAAUCUGGUUAAAUCUGCAGAAUGGAGGCAAAGAAACAAAAGAAACAGGUGAAAUCUGCCGAAAAACGUGAAAUCUACAGAAAAACAGGUUAAAUCUGCAGAAAAACAGGUCAGAUCUGCCCACUGGUGGCUCAGGAGCAGCACUGCAGCACACAGAUCCACACAUUCACCCAAAUAUUCACUUAAAGAAGGUUAAAAUUCAGAUUUAGUCAUAGUUUCUCCUAGACUAAUCCUAAAUUAAUCAAAUGUUCCACCAAAAUCACACUACAACCAGCUGUUUGGUUCUAAAAAGUCAGAAAGUGUUAAAAAUGUCAAUUAGUGGUAAAGAUCUUCAGUUUACUGUCAGAAAGGAGGAAAAAAACAGAAAAUAUUCACAUUUAAGGAGCUGGAGUCACAGAAUUUAGAGGUUUUCUUCUUGAAAAAUUACUGAAACUGAUUCAUUAAUCAGCUGUUUGUCUCUAAAAUGUCUUUAAAAGGUGAAAAAUGUGGAUCACAGUUUCCUCAAAUGUCCUGUUUAGUCCAAAGAUCUUCAGUGUACUGUCCAGAGGAAAGAAACCAGAAAAUAUUCAUAUUUAAGAACUUUAUUACUUUAUUUAGUAAAUGACUUAAACAGAUUAAAUUAUUACUUAUUUUGUCUUUAAAAAGUCAGAAAAUGUUGAAAAAUAUCAAUUAGUGGUAAAGAUCUUCAGUUUACUGUCAUAGAGG
ensembl:lncRNA